GUGGGGAAUUUUGGACAAUGGGGGAAACCCUGAUCCAGCCAUCCCGCGUGUGCGAUGAAGGCCUUCGGGUUGUAAAGCACUUUUGGCAGGAAAGAAACGCCGCGGGUUAAUACCCUGCGGAACUGACGGUACCUGCAGAAUAAGCACCGGCUAACUACGUGCCAGCAGCCGCGGUAAUACGUAGGGUGCAAGCGUUAAUCGGAAUUACUGGGCGUAAAGCGUGCGCAGGCGGUUCGGAAAGAAAGAUGUGAAAUCCCAGAGCUUAACUUUGGAACUGCAUUUUUAACUACCGAGCUAGAGUGUGUCAGAGGGAGGUGGAAUUCCGCGUGUAGCAGUGAAAUGCGUAGAUAUGCGGAGGAACACCGAUGGCGAAGGCAGCCUCCUGGGAUAACACUGACGCUCAUGCACGAAAGCGUGGGGAGCAAACAGGAUUAGAAACCCUAGUAGUCC
rnacentral:rRNA from 1 species